AGUAACGCGUGGGUAACCUGCCUUAUACAGGGGGAUAACAGUUAGAAAUGACUGCUAAUACCGCAUAAGCGCACAGGAUUGCAUGACAUGGUGUGAAAAACUCCGGUGGUAUAAGAUGGACCCGCGUCUGAUUAGCUAGUUGGUGAGAUAACAGCCCACCAAGGCGACGAUCAGUAGCCGACCUGAGAGGGUGACCGGCCACAUUGGGACUGAGACACGGCCCAGACUCCUACGGGAGGCAGCAUG
rnacentral:rRNA from 1 species